rnacentral:rRNA from 1 species
CAGUAGCCGCGGGAAUGCGUAGGUGGCAAGCGUUGUCCGGAAUUAUUGGGCGUAAAGGGCUCGCAGGCGGUUUCUUAAGUCUGAUGUGAGAGCCCCCGGCUCAACCGGGGAGGGUCAUUGGAAACUGGGAAACUUGAGUGCAGAAGAGGAGAGUGGAAUUCCACGUGUAGCGGUGAAAUGCGUAGAGAUGUGGAGGAGCACCAGUGGCGAAGGCGACUCUCUGGUCUGUAACUGACGCUGAGGAGCGAAAGCGUGGGGAGCGAACAGGAUUAGAUACCCCCGUAGUCCCUGUCUCUUAUAC